GAAACCGUGUGCUUACAAGUAGUCAGAGCCCGUUAAUGGGUGAUGGCGUGCCUUUUGUAGAAUGAACCGGCGAGUUACGAUUUGAUGCAAGGUUAAGCAGUAAAUGUGGAGCCGUAGCGAAAGCGAGUCUGAAUAGGGCGUUUAGUAUUUGGUCGUAGACCCGAAACCAGGUGAUCUACCCUUGGUCAGGUUGAAGUUCAGGUAACACUGAAUGGAGGACCGAACCGACUUACGUUGAAAAGUGAGCGGAUGAACUGAGGGUAGCGGAGAAAUUCCAAUCGAACCUGGAGAUAGCUGGUUCUCUCCGAAAUAGCUUUAGGGCUAGCCUCAAGUGAUGAUUAUUGGAGGUAGAGCACUGUUUGGACGAGGGGCCCCUCUCGGGUUACCGAAUUCAGACAAACUCCGAAUGCCAAUUAAUUUAACUUGGGAGUCAGAACAUGGGUGAUAAGGUCCGUGUUCGAAAGGGAAACAGCCCAGACCACCAGCUAAGGUCCCAAAAUAUAUGUUAAGUGGAAAAGGAUGUGGCGUUGCCCAGACAACUAGGAUGUUGGCUUAGAAGCAGCCAUCAUUUAAAGAGUGCGUAAUAGCUCACUAGUCGAGUGACACUGCGCCGAAAAUGUACCGGGGCUAAACAUAUUACCGAAGCUGUGGAUUGUCCUUUGGACAAUGGUAGGAGAGCGUUCUAAGGGCGUUGAAGCAUGAUCGUAAGGACAUGUGGAGCGCUUAGAAGUGAGAAUGCCGGUGUGAGUAGCGAAAGACGGGUGAGAAUCCCGUCCACCGAUUGACUAAGGUUUCCAGAGGAAGGCUCGUCCGCUCUGGGUUAGUCGGGUCCUAAGCUGAGGCCGACAGGCGUAGGCGAUGGAUAACAGGUUGAUAUUCCUGUACCACCUAUAAUCGUUUUAAUCGAUGGGGGGACGCAGUAGGAUAGGC
rnacentral:rRNA from 1 species